AAAAUGUAUCCUAGUUGAUAGUUAUUCAGCCAACAUCAUUUAUUAUGGUCAUUGCUACAUACUCCGUGCUUCAUGCUGUCUUUGCAACUUCCUAUUACUGCCAGGUCACUCCCAUCAUUUUGAUGGUCCAUAGCUUGACUUUUAUUCUCAACUGCUAGGUUCUUCCUCAAGUUCAGCAAUGUAUGAGAUAAAGAUGUCAGGAGUGGUUGUACAGGCUGUCACAGGGGACAUUACCAAAGAGACUACGGAUGUCAUUGUCAACUCCUCCAACUCCUCCUUCAGCCUCAAGUCAGGGGUGUCUAAAGCCAUUCUGGACACGGCUGGUCCGACUGUGGAGACUGAAUGCCAACAACUCGGAUUCAUCCAAUGGCAUUGAGGAGUAUACCACCUCAGUCAUCAGCUUCAUCAAUAAGUGCAUCAACGACGUCGUCCCCACAGUGACCAUACGUACAUACCCCAACCAGAAGCCAUGGAUUACAGGCAACAUCUGCAUCCAGCUAAAGGCUAGAGCUGCCGCUUUCAAGGAGCGGGACACUAAUCCAGACACUUAUAAGAAAUCCCGCUAUGCCCUCAGACGAACCAUCA
rnacentral:lncRNA from 1 species